UUUAUGGAGAGUUUGAUCCUGGCUCAGGAUGAACGCUGGCGGCGUGCCUAAUACAUGCAAGUCGAGCGAACAGACGAGGAGCUUGCUCCUUUGACGUUAGCGGCGGACGGGUGAGUAACACGUAGGUAACCUACCUAUAAGACUGGGAUAACUUCGGGAAACCGGAGCUAAUACCGGAUAAUAUUUCGAACCGCAUGGUUCGAUAGUGAAAGAUGGCUUUGCUAUCACUUAUAGAUGGACCUGCGCCGUAUUAGCUAGUUGGUAAGGUAACGGCUUACCAAGGCAACGAUACGUAGCCGACCUGAGAGGGUGAUCGGCCACACUGGAACUGAGACACGGUCCAGACUCCUACGGGAGGCAGCAGUAGGGAAUCUUCCGCAAUGGGCGAAAGCCUGACGGAGCAACGCCGCGUGAGUGAUGAAGGUCUUCGGAUCGUAAAACUCUGUUAUUAGGGAAGAACAAACGUGUAAGUAACUGUGCACGUCUUGACGGUACCUAAUCAGAAAGCCACGGCUAACUACGUGCCAGCAGCCGCGGUAAUACGUAGGUGGCAAGCGUUAUCCGGAAUUAUUGGGCGUAAAGCGCGCGUAGGCGGUUUUUUAAGUCUGAUGUGAAAGCCCACGGCUCAACCGUGGAGGGUCAUUGGAAACUGGAAAACUUGAGUGCAGAAGAGGAAAGUGGAAUUCCAUGUGUAGCGGUGAAAUGCGCAGAGAUAUGGAGGAACACCAGUGGCGAAGGCGACUUUCUGGUCUGUAACUGACGCUGAUGUGCGAAAGCGUGGGGAUCAAACAGGAUUAGAUACCCUGGUAGUCCACGCCGUAAACGAUGAGUGCUAAGUGUUAGGGGGUUUCCGCCCCUUAGUGCUGCAGCUAACGCAUUAAGCACUCCGCCUGGGGAGUACGACCGCAAGGUUGAAACUCAAAGGAAUUGACGGGGACCCGCACAAGCGGUGGAGCAU
rnacentral:rRNA from 1 species